GUGCCAGCCGCCGCGGUAAUACGGAGGAUCCAAGCGUUAUCCGGAAUCAUUGGGUUUAAAGGGUCCGUAGGCGGUUUGGUAAGUCAGUGGUGAAAGCCCGCAGCUCAACUGUGGAACGGCCAUUGAUACUGCCAGACUUGAAUUACAAGGAAGUAACUAGAAUAUGUAGUGUAGCGGUGAAAUGCUUAGAUAUUACAUGGAAUACCAAUUGCGAAGGCAGGUUACUACUUGUGGAUUGACGCUGAUGGACGAAAGCGUGGGGAGCGAACAGGAUUAGAAACCCCCGUAGUCC
rnacentral:rRNA from 1 species